rnacentral:rRNA from 1 species
GACAGAGGGUGCAAACGUUGCUCGGAAUCACUGGGCGUAAAGGGCGUGUAGGCGGGACGGUAAGUCGGGCGUGAAAUCCCUAGGCUCAACCUAGGAACUGCACUCGAAACUACCAUUCUUGAGUGUCGGAGAGGAAAGCGGAAUUCCUGGUGUAGAGGUGAAAUUCGUAGAUAUCAGGAGGAACACCAAUUGCGAAGGCAGCUCGCUGGGACGUUACUGACGCUGAGACGCGAAAGCGUGGGGAGCGAACAGG